AUGUCAUCAGUAUUGAAAUCAGCUGUCAUGUACAGUAGAGCUGAGUCCUCCAUCUUAUCCAGUGUAAGAUCUCAGUCUCCCUCUAGAGUCAGUCAACAGCAGAACAGCAGUCAGACAUCAGAACAGAACCAGAAUGAAGCGGGAUAUAACACACUGCUGUCUGAUAGUGUAAGCGGACCUACUGACGUCACCUAUGCUGAGAUUGAACUCAAGUCUACAGAGAAACAGAAGAUAAAUAAAGAAAACAAAGGUAAACUGAAACAAUGGUUUUAUGAUAAUGACAGUAGUGUAGCAGAGUUAAAGACCUCUGGGGUAAAAAGUCCCUUUAAUUUUAAUUUCUUCCACAUCAGUAAAGAGCAACAAAUACCACCACAGUAUUUUUCUAAACACCUGUUUGUGGUUGUUCACUGUGAAAUUCACCUGAUCCAUGAAGGUCAUUGCAGGUUGUUGAUUUUGAGGUAA
ensembl:lncRNA